UACGUAGGCAGCAAGCGUUGUUCGGAGUUACUGGGCGUAAAGAGUGCGUAGGCGGCGCCGUAAGUCUGUUGUGAAAUCUCCCGGCUUAACCGGGAGGGUGCGGUGGAAACUGCGGGGCUAGAGUGUGGGAGAGGUAAGCGGAAUUCCUGGUGUAGCGGUGAAAUGCGUAGAUAUCAGGAGGAACACCGGUGGUGUAGACGGCUUACUGGACCACGACUGACGCUGAGGCACGAAAGCGUGGGUAGCAAACAG
rnacentral:rRNA from 1 species